UGGCGAUGAAAGUGUGUUGCAUGAGUCACAUGAUGAUGGGUUUACGCUCUUCACAGCCCGCUCACUCCAGGAAUGCUCCAGCAGACAAGGAUUGUGACAGGCCACUGAAUUCUAAAACAUAGAGUGGCCAUCUCCCCGCGAGCGCGUGCGAGUCCGCCGCCAUAUUGAUUUAACCGCACUUGGCGCCGCCACCAUGGUGCCACAGGGGCAGCGCGGGACCUGCUGCGCUCAGUGGACGUACCGCACUAUUCAUUCGCGGGUGGAAAGGCAACACUCAGCUGCUCAUACGAUCUGAGCGCCACCCGCCUCUACUCUCUCAAGUGGUACCAUAACGGAACUGAGUUUUACCGUUACGUGCCCACGGAGCGCGAGCAACCUAUCAACAUCCAGCCGUCGCACAAGUUUACGGUUAACGAGCUGUUCCGCAACGACCAGCGAGUGACGCUUUCCCUAAGCCAGCUUACGGUAUCCGCCUCGGGUCAGUAUAGGUGUGAGGUGAUUGCCGAGCAUCCAAGCUUCAGGACUGAAGCUGCCAAGGCUACCAUGGUCGUCCUC